CGGGGUGUAGCGCAGUUGGUAGCGCGCUUGGUUCGGGACCAAGAGGCCGUGGGUUCGAAUCCCGUCACUCCGACCA
rnacentral:tRNA from 8 species